GUGCCAGCCGCCGCGGUAAUACAGAGGUCUCAAGCGUUGUUCGGAUUCAUUGGGCGUAAAGGGUGCGUAGGUGGCGGGGCAAGUCUGGUGUGAAAUCCCGGGGCUCAACCCUGGAACUGCACUGGAUACUGCCUUGCUGGAGUACUGGAGAGGAGAUUGGAAUUUACGGUGUAGCAGUGAAAUGCGUAGAUAUCGUAAGGAAGACCAGUGGCGAAGGCGAAUCUCUGGACAGUUACUGACACUGAGGCACGAAGGCCAGGGGAGCAAACGGGAUUAGAUACCCCGGUAGUCCUGGCAGUAAACGGUGCGCGUUUGGUGUGGGAGGAUUCGACCCCUUCCGUGCCGGAGCUAACGCGUUAAACGCGCCGCCUGGGGAGUACGGUCGCAAGAUUAAAACUCAAAGAAAUUGACGGGGGCCCGCACAAGCGGUGGAGUAUGUGGCUUAAUUCGAUGCAACGCGAAGAACCUUACCUGGCCUUGACAUGCAUCUCUAAGCCGGUGAAAGCCGGCGACUCCCGCAAGGGAGAAUUUGCACAGGUGCUGCAUGGCUAUCGUCAGCUCGUGUCGUGAGAUGUUGGGUUAAGUCCCGCAACGAGCGCAACCCAUGUGAACUGUUGCCACCGGCCGCAAGGCCGAGCACUCUGUUCAGACUGCCCUGUGAAACGGGGAGGAAGGUGGGGAUGACGUCAAGUCAGCAUGGCCCUUACGGCCAGGGCUGCACACGUACUACAAUGCUCAGCACAGAACGAGCCGAAACCGCGAGGUGGAGGAAAUCCCUAAAACUGAGCCCAAUUCGGAUCGCAGGCUGCAACUCGCCUGCGUGAAGCCGGAAUCGCUAGUAAUGCCGUAUCAGCUACGACGGCGUGAAUACGUUCCCGGGCCUUGUACACACCGCCCGUC
rnacentral:rRNA from 1 species